UGGUGUCUGUCCUGCAUGUCUUUCGAGAGAUGAAUGGUGCUGUCGAUUAGGUCGCUUCUUACAUGAUUGAAUAUACUGGUGAUUGGAUCUGAUGUUAGGGUCAAACAUAUGCGCAAGUCUUGUAAGAUAUUUUAUUUUCUAAUUUUAUAGAUGUACUCAUACUAGAGUGGUGUGAGGGCCUGCUUGUACCAAAAAAGAAAGAAGCAAAGA
rnacentral:lncRNA from 1 species